GUAAAAGUCGUAACAAGGUUUCCGUAGGUGAACCUGCGGAAGGAUCAUUAAUGAAAAUGUGUUGCCGGGGCCCAUAAUCCCGGCACUAACCUUCUUAUCCAUAACACCUGUGCACUGUUGGAUGCUUGCAUCCACUUUUAUACUAAACAAUUUGUAACAAAUGUAGUCUUAUUAUAAUUAAUAAAACUUUUAACAACGGAUCUCUUGGCUCUCGCAUCGAUGAAGAACGCAGCGAAAUGCGAUAAGUAAUGUGAAUUGCAGAACUCAGUGAAUCAUCGAAUCUUUGAACGCACCUUGCGCUCCUUGGUAUUCCGAGGAGCAUGCCUGUUUGAGUGUCAUAAACCUCUCAAACCCAAGUUUUGGAUUUAUCCUUGCUUGAGUUUGGAUUUGGGUGUUUGCCAGUGAUGAACUGACUCACCUUAAAAGUAUUAGCUAGAUCUGUCUUUGACUGGUUUGACUUGGCAUAAUAAGUAUUUUGCUAAGGACAUCUUCGGAUGGCCAGGACUUGACUUUUGUCUGCUUACUAAACCUUACUUUAAGUGCAUCUCUGGUGUUACUUAUAGUAUUACUUUGACAUAUGGCCUCAAAUCAGGUAGGACUACCCGCUGAACUUAAGCAUAUCAAUAAGCGGAGGA
rnacentral:rRNA from 1 species